GUUUCUUUGUACAUCUGUAUGUUGUGUUUCGUGAUCCUGUGGAGAUUCCCUUGCAAGUUCGGCUAGCACUUUAGAAGAAUUGGUGUAUGUAAUCUGAUGAUUAUAGUGAAAUUCCGUCACUUUUGUGAUGGAGACUGGAUGUAGGCUGCAUUGCACCUAGCAGCUGAACCAGG